rnacentral:rRNA from 1 species
UACGGAGGAGGCAAGCGUUAUCCGGAAUUAUUGGGCGUAAAGCGUCCGUAGGUGGCUCUUCAAGUCUGCUGUCAAAGAGUGGGGCUUAACCCUGCAAAGGCAGUGGAAACUGAAGCGCUAGAGUGCGGUAGGGGUAGAGGGAAUUCCCGGUGUAGCGGUGAAAUGCGUAGAGAUCGGGAAGAACAUCGGUGGCGAAAGCGCUCUACUGGACCGCAACUGACACUCAGGGACGAAAGCUAGGGGAGCGAAUGGG